UUUUUUUCUUUUGAGACAAGACGAAAGGUUUGAUGAUGUGGAAUGUGGAAAUUUUUGUAUUUUCUCCACCACCAGAAAAAGGCUUCUGUUGGAAGGAAGCGUUCUUUGCUGUGUCUGCUGUAACAGGGCUGAGGAUGCAUUGUGCAUUAUUUUGGGAGCUCUCAGAUGCAAUGAAGACCUCCUAAGUAAAACUGGCUUAGUCAAGAAGGACAUCUCACAUAUCAGCAAUCUAGAAGCAGGAAUUUCAACAUUGGUUCUAUCUGUGACUCAAAGACGUUAGGCCUGCAGGUCGGCUUUUAGGCUCUUGGAUUCAUUCCCCUCUGGUUACCUGGGGCCUUCCACUGCUGAAUCUUCACAUUGGGUGGCUGCCAGGGCAGGAAGAGUGGCAGGAUCUGCUCUACAAGGCUCUCCUUCUAUUAGAAAAGAAGAUCCUUCCCCGAAGGCCCUUGAGUAACUUCCCCUUAGGGUACACUGGUCUGAACCUGUCAUGUGGCCACUCUUAGCUGCAAGAGAGGCUGUGGCAGUGAGGAUCUGUAAGUGGCUGGUGACGGGGGUGGGCUCUGGUGGCAAGGAAGGAGAGGAGGAAACAACCAGCAGUGUCAGCUGCACAUUUCUCUGUGGAAGAAAUUAACUUUCAAUCAGUUAGUCAAUAUGCCUAGUUUUCAAGCGUAUUUUGUUCAGGGUUAUGAAUUAAGUAUGAUCUAGAUCCAGGAAAACCUUGAUACCUCCAUUUAUUUCCUUUUGUAGUUUACACAAUUCAGUUCUCUGCACAGUUAGUGUGAAAUAAAUGUCAAACAGUUUACAACGUGUUUUAUUUAUAAUCUGUAUAAACUGUAUAGUGUAACUCCUUAGUUCCUUUUUGUUAAGCUUUCCUCCCCCUCCCUGCCCCUAUUUUGGAGACUUCACUAAUAACAGGGACACAAUUCUAGAGUGUUAGUGUUUUUGGUUUUUUUUUUCUUUUAGUUCCUAUACCAUGUAACUGUACCUUGUACUGACAAAAUUAAAUACAAUGCAGGAUAAACCA